rnacentral:rRNA from 1 species
GAUGAACGCUGACAGAAUGCUUAACACAUCAGCAAUUGAUUGGUGGCGGACGGGUGAGUAACGCGUAAAGAACUUGCCUCACAGGUAGGGACAACAUUUGGAAACGAAUGCUAAUACCUAAUACUGUGAGAGAGCUUUGCGUCCCAUUAGAUAGAUGGGGAGGUAACGGCCCACCAAGGCGAUGAUGGGUAGCCGGCCUGAGAGGGUGAUCGGCCACAAGGGGACUGAGACACGGCCCUUACGCAUACGGGGGGCAGCAGUGGUGAAUAUUGGACUAUGGACCAAAGUCUGAUCCAGCAAUUCGGUGUGUACGAUUAAGUUUUCGGAAUGUAAAGUGCUUUCAGUUGGGAAGCGGUACCAACCGAAGAAGUGACGGCUAACUACGUGCCAGCAGCCGCGGUAAUUC